rnacentral:lncRNA from 1 species
AAUUAUAUUGUCAUCUUCAUUUUAUAGAUGAAAAAAUUCUGGAAGAGCAAGUUUAAGCGACAAACCCAAAGAUUCUCUGUUCUUAAGUGUCAGAGGUAAAAUUGAAUAAAGGUAGUCUGAAUCUAGGGUACUUUCUCUUAAUCCUAUGCUGCUCCAAUCAUGUGACUGUAGAAAGAGAAAAUUGUGAUUUUCAGUCCAUCGGAAAACAACACAUCUGCACAGGGACCAUGGGAGACAGACUCCAAGGUCAUGCCAUUCCCACUGAGCUAAGGAGCCAGAAAUUGGAGUUCAAAGCUGCUGAAACAGCUACAACAUGUAAAUAAAUCGUUCCAAUUUCUACUCCCGGACAAGACAAUGAAAACUAGAUAUCAUUCUAUGCUUAAGGAGGCCUAUGGGAGGUAAGAAAUUUCAAAAAUACUUAUUUCUUUAU